rnacentral:rRNA from 1 species
UACGGAGGGGGCUAGCGUUGUUCGGAAUUACUGGGCGUAAAGCGCACGUAGGCGGCUUUGUAAGUUAGAGGUGAAAGCCCGGGGCUCAACUCCGGAAUUGCCUUUAAGACUGCAUCGCUAGAAUUGUGGAGAGGUAAGUGGAAUUCCGAGUGUAGAGGUGAAAUUCGUAGAUAUUCGGAAGAACACCAGUGGCGAAGGCGACUAACUGGUCCGGAUCUGACGCUGAGGUGCGAAAAGCGUGGGGGAGCAAACAGGG